AUGCCAACAGUGGAGGAGCUCUACCACAACUACAGUAUCCUCGCUGAUAUCAUGGAGCAAGUGAGCCAGCAUGAAGAUGCCUAUCAAGUGAGACUGGAUGGUAUGAAAGGUGGCACCAAGGAAAAACGAUUAGCAGCUCAAUUUAUUCCUAAGUUUUUCAAGCAUUUUCCUGAAUUGGCAGAUUCUGCUAUCAAUGCACAGUUAGACCUCUGUGAAGAUGAAGAUGUAUCAAUUCGACUCCAAGCUAUUAAAGAGCUGCCUCAGUUUGCCACUGGGGAAAAUCUUCCCCGAGUGGCAGAUAUACUAACCCAACUUUUGCAGACAGAUGACUCUGUGGAAUUUAACUUAGUGAACAAUGCCCUAAGUAUAUUUAAGAUGAAUGCAAAAGGAAUGCUAGGCGGCUUGUUUAGCCAGAUACUUCAAGGAGAGGAUAUUGUUAGAGAACACGCAAUUAAAUUCCUGUCUACAAAAUUGAAGACUUUACCCGAUGAAGUCUUAACAAAGGAAGUAGAAGAACUUAUACUAACUGAAUCCAAAAAAGUCCUAGAAGAUGUGAUGGGUGAAGAAUUUGUUCUGUUCAUAAAGAUCUUGUCUGGGCUAAAGAGCUUACAGACAGUGAGUGGGAGGCAGCAGCUAGUGGAGCUGUUGGCCAAGCAGGCCGACCUAGAGCAGACCUUCAGUCCGUCAGACCCCGACUGCAUGGACAGGCUCCUCCAGUGCACUUGGUGGUGAGUGCCUCUCUUCUCUAAAAAUGUCCAUUCCACAAGGUUUGUGACUUAUUUCUGUGAGCAGGUUCUCCCUAACCUCGGUACAUUAACUACCCCAGUGGAGGGUCUUGAUAUACAAUUGGAGGUGUUAAAAUUGUUGGCAGAAAUGAAUUCAUUUUGUGGUGACAUGGAGAAGCUAGAAACAAAUUUAAGGAAACUAUUUGAUAAGUUAUUGGAGUACAUACCUCUCCCACCAGAAGAAGCAGAAAAUGGAGAGAAUGCUGGUAAUGAAGAACCUAAGCUGCAGUUCAGCUAUGUGGAAUGUUUGUUGUACAGUUUUCAUCAGUUGGGCUGAAAAUUCCCAGAUUUCUUAACAGCCAUACUGAAUGCAGAAAAGCUCAAAGAUUUCAAAAUCAGGCUUCAAUACUUUGCCCGGGGCUUGCAGGUUUAUAUCUGACAAUUUCACUUGGCUCUCCAGGGUAAAACAGGUGAAGCCUUAAAAACAGAAGAGAACAAGAUUAAAGUUGUUCGCAUUGAAAAUAACAAACAAUAUCAAUGUUUUAAUCAAGGAUCUCUUCCACAUCCCUCCAUCUUACAAGAGUUCAGUAACAUUAUCUUGGAAACCUAUACAGAAAGUUGAGAUCGGGCAAAAGAGAGCCAAUGAAGAUGCAACUUCAGGUUCACCAUCCAAGAAAUCUCCAGCAGGACCAAAAAGGGAUGCCAGGUAGAUUUAUAAUCCUCCCAGUGGGAAAUACAACAGCAAUUUGGGCAACUUUAAUUAUGAGAGGAGCCUUCAGGGGAAGUAGAGAUGGCCGAGGUUGGGGAGCCCGAGGAAAUCGCAGUCGAGGAAGACUCUACUGAAUAAGACAUCACAUUCUCCAAGCAUCAUCACACGCUUAAUAAACA